UACGUAGGGUGCAAGCGUUGUCUGGAAUUAUUGGGCGUAAAGAGCUCGUAGGCGGUCUGUUGCGUCGGCUGUGAAAACCCGGGGCUCAACUCCGGGCCUGCAGCCGAUACGGGCAGACUAGAGUUCGGCAGGGGAGACUGGAAUUCCUGGUGUAGCGGUGAAAUGCGCAGAUAUCAGGAGGAACACCGGUGGCGAAGGCGGGUCUCUGGGCCGAUACUGACGCUGAGGAGCGAAAGCGUGGGGAGCGAACAGG
rnacentral:rRNA from 1 species